AGGCUGGAGCAGGUGUCUGGUGUGGAAGCAGCAGCAGCAGAGCUGCAAAACCCUCCUCAGUUAGCCAACAUAUCUAGUGCAGCUCCUCAGGAUGCCCGGAUCGAGAGCCUAAGGACACUGAGUACAUUUGGAUGACUCACUGAGGUGGGACAGGGUGGAGAGGCUAAUCCCUGUCUGCUCCUAAACAGUACAAAAAGCAAGAUCCAAAACAAGCAAAUCAUCACCAACCUCCAAGGAGUCAAGGAGACGUGCUGGUGGAUAGCUGGUGUCUCUCCUCCUCCGUGUCCUGGACUGGGCACUUGGAACACACAUCCUGAUGCCUGCUGAUGGCCUGGCUGCUUGGACACGGUAACAGAUGGUCAUUGUGACGUGAACGUUAUUCCAAUAUCCACAGAGGAGGAAAAAGGACCAGCGUGAUCCAAACUUACAGUAUCAGAGAGCUUCAGUUUUCUGCUUGUUUAUCUCCAUGGAGUCCUGAGGACUUCUUAAAAGAAUGAGAUGUGACUAACUCGUCCCAAGCCACACAAGAAGCUGGUGGCAGCACAGAGGAGUGAUGAUUUGUUGGCAGGGCAGGCCAAAAACCCACUUGGGCAAGAUUCAAACAAACAUCCAGGCCAGCAGCUUCAAGUGCUCUCAUUCACAAGCGAUCAGUCAGAAAUCUCUCUGCUGAGUUUGGUGGCACCGACAUCAAAGGAGCUUUGGAGACUCAAGAGACAGAUGAGCACACAUGGAAGAGAGAUGCUUGGUGCAGAGUGAGCAGGAGUGAGGAUCUGUGUUCUGCCACUGCAUCCAGCUUGCUGCACAGCCCGAGGCCACAUGAAACAGUGAAGGAGAGGCUGAGCCUGCACACCCACACCAAAAUGCUUUUGACAUUUGGAGAUCUGCAGGAGUGGGUCACUAACUGGUGAGCUUGCUAUUGUCUACCAUGGCUGUUGCAAGACUCAAAGAGAGAGUAAGUGUGGCUAAAGGAAAGCAGGAUAACUCCUUCCUUUUCCAGAGGCUUCCCCUGGGGCUCAGUCCUUCACUCCUCUAAUUCUCUUUUGGACUUCAGCUCCUUCCC
rnacentral:lncRNA from 1 species